UUAGGUUCCAGUUCUGGUUCUAAGAAGCUCACAGGUGAUGACUCUUAUCCAAGGAUCACACUUUAAGAACAUUGCUAAAGAAAACCCAGUGAUGUUUUGCUACAGCAGGAUCUCCAUUGGCUUUAUCCCCAGGAGAGACUGACCUCACUGUCACUGUGCUUUCAAAGGUCCCAAAAAUGUUGGCCCUCUGGCAACUCUACAUCUACAUGGAGUGGAGAUACCAACAGACAAUCAGCAGGCAGAAACACUAUAAGGGUCCAAGACGACAAUAGUUCUAAAAUUUAUAUAUAUAUCCCCCCAUCAGCCUCUCACCAUCUCACAUUUGCUCCUUUUCAGCAGGAAGUAGCUAUAAAAGAGAGAUUCAUUACUCCCCUUCC
rnacentral:lncRNA from 1 species